GACGAACGCUGGCGGCGUGCUUAACACAUGCAAGUCGAACGGAAAGGCCCUGCUUUUGUGGGGUGCUCGAGUGGCGAACGGGUGAGUAACACGUGAGUAACCUGCCCUUGACUUUGGGAUAACUUCAGGAAACUGGGGCUAAUACCGGAUAGGAGCUCCUGCUGCAUGGUGGGGGUUGGAAAGUUUCGGCGGUUGGGGAUGGACUCGCGGCUUAUCAGCUUGUUGGUGGGGUAGUGGCUUACCAAGGCUUUGACGGGUAGCCGGCCUGAGAGGGUGACCGGCCACAUUGGGACUGAGAUACGGCCCAGACUCCUACGGGAGGCAGCAGUGGGGAAUAUUGCACAAUGGGCGGAAGCCUGAUGCAGCAACGCCGCGUGCGGGAUGACGGCCUUCGGGUUGUAAACCGCUUUCGCCUGUGACGAAGCGUGAGUGACGGUAAUGGGUAAAGAAGCACCGGCUAACUACGUGCCAGCAGCCGCGGUGAUACGUAGGGUGCGAGCGUUGUCCGGAUUUAUUGGGCGUAAAGGGCUCGUAGGUGGUUGAUCGCGUCGGAAGUGUAAUCUUGGGGCUUAACCCUGAGCGUGCUUUCGAUACGGGUUGACUUGAGGAAGGUAGGGGAGAAUGGAAUUCCUGGUGGAGCGGUGGAAUGCGCAGAUAUCAGGAGGAACACCAGUGGCGAAGGCGGUUCUCUGGGCCUUUCCUGACGCUGAGGAGCGAAAGCGUGGGGAGCGAACAGGCUUAGAUACCCUGGUAGUCCACGCUGUAAACGGUGGGUACUAGGUGUGGGGUCCAUUCCACGGGUUCCGUGCCGUAGCUAACGCUUUAAGUACCCCGCCUGGGGAGUACGGCCGCAAGGCUAAAACUCAAAGGAAUUGGCGGGGCCCCGCACAAGCGGCGGAGCAUGCGGAUUAAUUCGAUGCAACGCGUAGAACCUUACCUGGGUUUGACAUGGAUCGGGAGUGCUCAGAGAUGGGUGUGCCUCUUUUGGGGUCGGUUCACAGGUGGUGCAUGCCUGUCGUCAGCUCGUGUCGUGAGAUGUUGGGUUAAGUCCCGCAACGAGCGCAACCCUUGUUCACUGUUGCCAGCACGUUAUGGUGGGGACUCAGUGGAGACCGCCGGGGUCAACUCGGAGGAAGGUGGGGAUGACGUCAAGUCCUCAUGCCCCUUAUGUCCAGGGCUUCACGCAUGCUACAAUGGCUGGUACAGAGAGUGGCGAGCCUGUGAGGGUGAGCGUAUCUCGGAAAGCCGGUCUCAGUUCGGAUUGGGGUCUGCAACUCGACCUCAUGAAGUCGGAGUCGCUAGUAAUCGCAGAUCAGCAACGCUGCGGUGAAUACGUUCCCGGGGCU
rnacentral:rRNA from 1 species